AACUGGAGUCAGUUGGCUGCUUUGUGCAGAAGAAAGAGGCAGUGCUUGGAGGAGAUGCCUACAAGAAAUACCAAGAAGGAAGAAUGUGUGUGCCUUUCUUCAAGAUGUGAUCCUUUAUUGGAAUUCCACUCUAAUGCAACCAGGUAUGAAAUCCCAUCAACAAGGCAGUGCUGAGGCAAACCUGCUGUGUGGAAGGAUGGGCAGCAUAUUGGGUGUUAGCAGCAGGUUUGAAUUAACUCAGCCAAGGAUUUGGAUCUGAAUGUAACAGUGAAUGCCUGAGACAAGAGUUCCCUCUUAUACUUCCAUGAACACAUAUAAAGCCUUGAUUUCAUUGUGAUCUGCAAUGGAUUUGUUUUUCAUGUCAGAGCACUGAUGAAUAGGAAAAACAAUACUGAUGAAUAGGAAAAACAAUACUCUGCCAUCUUCACUUUUGAUAGUAACUCCUCUUUUUACCCUAAUACAGAGGGUUCCUGCUGUCAAUAGAUCUUUAUGGGAUUGUUUUAGAAUUAUGUAUAUGCUUUGGAGUAUGCUGGUUGUCUUGCUCACUUCAGAAAUUCUGGCUUGCAGGUUAAACUUCUAUUAAAAGGCAUAGCAUUGGAACUAAUCUUCCAGUAAAUUAAUUAUAUGGUUUAAUGCCAUGAGCAGUGCUGAAGUUUUAAUCAAAUAAAAAUGCAAUCUCUGUGCAAAAUGUUCCCAUCUCCUUUCACUGGGACAAGCUAUGCCUGGUUUUGUUUACUCUUCUUGUACUGUCAUGCAUGACCUGCAGCAGAGAUCUUACCAGCUGCUACAAGAAUUCACAAGAAACACCUAAUUUCAAAUACAUAAAUGGUUAUAUUAUUUGUAGAACCAGAAACCUUCACAAAUUAAGAUGUUCACCUUGAUAUGUUUUUCUUUACCCUCCCUUUGCUCAUAUGCACUCUGAAUUUACUUGGUAUAACAAAUGAAUACAUUUCUCCAGUUCUGGGUCUUCUGGUUUUUAUCAAGCUGGAAGACUGAGUUAUAGAGCAUGGUAAAUAUAUCCAAAUGCAGUUCACACAAUGUAAUGGGAAAUCUAGCCUAGCUCUUACUAUGAGUGAAAGUAGAAAACUGAAAUAAAUUGAGUUUCUCUGGUGUCUCAAAACGAGGCCUUGGGUUUGGGAAAUCCUUAUGUAGGAACUGGGAAUAAUCUACAAGCUUCAUGGAAAAAAAAGGUCUGAGGUCUAAAGUCUUCACAGAAAUUAGCACUUAGAGCAAUUCUUUUAAAAGUUCAUUAUUGAAGCUCCUAUUGUUGACUUCACCAAGACAAUAAUGUAGAUAUCUUUUACACAAGAUGGAUCUGAGAACUGGGUGCCAUUGAAUCACCAUGAUUAUAGCCUAAGGAGGAUCAAAAUCAUGCCCAGAACCUCAGACUGUGUUUUACAUCCUCACUUUCCAGUUUAGAAAGGACUGAAGGACUGCCUUUUCUAUGUACUUCCUAUGAACACUUCUCUGACACCUUCCUUGGUUAUUUUGCAGCUGUGACCUUUCUGUGUUCAUUUAGACUGGAUUCUGCAGGGCCUGUUAAACCUGCCAUGGAGAUUUCUACUGCCACAAAUCUAAUAG